rnacentral:rRNA from 1 species
GAUGAACGCUAGCGGCAGGCUUAAUACAUGCAAGUCGAGGGACAGCACAGGUAGCAAUACUGGGUGGUAACCGGCAAACGGGUGCGGAACACGUACACAACCUUCCUUUAAGUGGGGGAUAGCCCAGAGAAAUUUGGAUUAAUACCCCGUAAUAUAGUUGAAUGGCAUCAUUUGAUUAUUAUAGCUACGGCGCUUAAUGAUGGGUGUGCGGCUGAUUAGAUAGUUGGCGGGGUAACGGCCCACCAAGUCUACGAUCAGUAGCUGAUGUGAGGGCAUGAUCAGCCACACGGGAACUGAGACACGGGCCCGACUCCUACGGGAGGCAGCAGUAAGGAAUAUUGGUCAAUGGACGCAAGUCUGAACCAGCCAUGCCGCGUGAAGGAUUAAGGUCCUCCGGAUUGUAAACUUCUUUAAUUUGGGACGAAAAAGGGCCUUUCUAGGUCAACUGACGGUACCAGAUGAAUAAGCACCGGCUAACUCCGUGCCAGCAGCCGCGGUAACAC